rnacentral:SRP_RNA from 1 species
CGGUGGGUCUAGGCGGGGGGCUAGGGGUCCCCUGAAAACCUGUAAAGGUUUGACCGCAAACCCCCUAUAUGGCGGGCCGAAAGCUGAAGUGAGACGCACCCAGCCCCACCCCUUAACCCACCACAAUCCUAAUGAACAACUGUGCCUUAGGGACGGCGGAAGAAGUGGUUCAACGCGUAGGGGUUGGACUGCUACUGUACCGGACGAACCUGGCUAGGCCCGGGAGGGAGCAACCUUAAGUCCGGACGUUUGACGCUUAAGGGGGUGCGGAUGUGAAGGAAGGUGGUUGGUUUAGGUGGGGUAUGGGCGUCCAGCUUCAGGACCCACCG